rnacentral:rRNA from 1 species
UACGUAGGGGGCAAGCGUUGUCCGGAUUUAUUGGGCGUAAAGAGCGUGUAGGCGGCCGUACAGGUCAGCUGUGAAAACUCGAGGCUCAACCUCGAGACGUCGGUUGAAACCGUACGGCUAGAGUCCGGAAGAGGAGAGUGGAAUUCCCGGUGUGAGCGGUGAAAUGACGCAGAUAUCGGGAAGAACACCCGUGGCGAAGGCGGCUCUCUGGGACGGUACUGACGCUGAGACGCGAAAGCGUGGGGAGCGAACGAGGA